UGGCAGAGGCUCCUUCCUGCAGCUGCACCAGGUGAGUUCCUGUUGGGCACUGAGGCUGAGCUGCUGCCCCUUGGGCACAGAGCACACUGGCAUCACUGGCCAUGGCUGGAAUGUGCCCCACGGGCACAGGGUGGCCUCUGGCCAGGUGCUGGCACUCAGAUGGUCAGACAGACAGAUGGCUGUAACACCAAGUGUAAGUGCAAAAACAGAUGGGGGCCCAACGGCACAUUUCCCAAAAAUGCAAUCCCUUUGCUCAAAGCAGCUCCCAUUCUGCUGGGAGGUGUGGGGGGGUGUGUGUGUGCCCAGGAGCAACCAAGCAGCAGCAGGACAGGGCUCUGUGGCUGCUGCAUCUCAGAUUUCUGCUGCUUUAAAAUACCUGGGAUUUAACUAUAACAAUUUUCACCCCAUCAGCCUACGAAAUGUGUAAACCAAAACAGAUCAGCUACUGCCAACAGGAGCUCUGCUCACUACAGCAGGUGCCAGGAAGGCACACAGAGUCCUCAGAAGCCUUCAGCUGUGUUGUACUCUGGCUGGAGACAGGUCACAGCCUGCUGGGACAAGGUGAGGAGGUUACCCACUUGUUCACUCUGUGCUGGGAAGGGGUCAUGGCAGGAGUGUGGCUUUUGUUCUUCUAAAAGGGAUUUGCUUAUUUUUGUUUCUCUAGGGAGCAGCUCCAGUGCACAGCCAUUGCACACAGCACAGAAAGGCCACGGCACUCCCACAGUGGGACAGCACCAACUGGAGAGCUCUUCCUCAUCCACCUGUGCUCCAGCAGGGAACAUCUGCUACCUGGCCAGUCACAGGAAAGCCUCUCUUUAGAAGAAAUUCCCUAAUGCACAGAGAGCUGGAAACAAGCAUUCCCAGCAUGAGGGCUGGCACAGAAUUCUCCCUGGAAGGUGCCUUAACCUCUGGAAAAAUUCUAGAGAAUCACAAUUUCUUCCACUACAUAACAGGUAGGAGGGAGGAACAGCCUUAGAACCAGGCAGGGAGAGCACAGGAAUGUUCUGAACCCUCUCUGAAGGCUGGCACCUUUGGCAUCCCUUCUGAACUUCCUUGAGGGAUGGUUGUGUUUUGAAGCACAGACCCACUUCCAGUGCAGCAACUGACUCCAUUCUCAGCUGUGC